rnacentral:rRNA from 1 species
UAGCCUACGGAAGUACCUGCCUGGUAGUGGGGGACAACGUUUCGAAAGGAACGCUAAUACCGCAUACGUCCUACGGGAGAAAGCAGGGACCUUCGGGCCUUGCGCUAUCAGAUGAGCCUAGGUCGGAUUAGCUAGUUGGUGAGGUAAUGGCUCACCAAGGCGACGAUCCGUAACUGGUCUGAGAGGAUGAUCAGUCACACUGGAACUGAGACACGGUCCAGACUCCUACGGGAGGCAGCAGCC